AUGGAUUCCAGAACAGCAUUCUGCGGCGCUCUGCUACUGCUGGUGACGCUGCUGCCUCUUUCAGCCAGCGCGCCGAGCAAACUCUACAUUGUGUAUAUGGGGGAGAAGAAACAUGAUGAGCCGUCCGUGGUCAUCGCGUCGCACCAUGACAUGCUAAUAUCUGUUUUUGGGAGCAAGGAUGAAGCCGUGAGGCCGAUAGUUUACAGUUACAAGCAUGGAUUUUCUGGGUUCGCGGCUAUGCUAACAAAAUCUCAAGCUGUGGCAAUCGCAAAAUUUCCUGAAGUUGUCUCUGUGAAGCCUAAUAUUUUUCACAAAACGCACACAACUCGGAGCUGGGAUUUCCUUGGCCUUGACUAUAAUCAACCGCCACAACAACCGGGGCUCCUCAAAAGAGCAAAGUAUGGUGAAGAUGUCAUUAUGGGUGUGAUCGAUACAGGCAUAUGGCCUGAAUCACGAAGCUUUGAUGACAACGGCUAUGGCCCCGUGCCGGCACGGUGGAAAGGAAAAUGCCAGAGUGGCGAGAAGUUCAACGCCACUGGUUGCAACAGAAAGAUCAUCGGUGCGCGGUGGUAUGGCCGUGGCAUCAGUGCCGAGUCACUAAAGAUCGACUACAAGUCACCUAGGGACCUCAAUGGCCAUGGCACACACGUCGCCUCAACUAUCGCCGGUGGGGAAGUGCAGGGCGUGAGCUAUGGAGGCCUAGGCAUGGGCGUGGCACGUGGCGGAGCACCACAUUGA
rnacentral:rRNA from 1 species